CCUACGGGUGGCAGCAGUGGGGAAUAUUGGGCAAUGGGCGCAAGCCUGACCCAGCAACGCCGCGUGAAGGAAGAAGGCUUUAGGGUUGUAAACUUCUUUUCUCAGGGACGAAGCAAGUGACGGUACCUGAGGAAUAAGCCACGGCUAACUACGUGCCAGCAGCCGCGGUAAUACGUAGGUGGCAAGCGUUAUCCGGAUUUACGGGGUGUAAAGGGCGUGUAGGCGGGAAGUCAAGUCAGAUGUGAAAACCAGGGGCUCAACCUUUUGCUUGCAUUUGAAACUGGUUGUCUUGAGUACUGGAGAGGCAGACGGAAUUCCUAGUGUAGCGGUGAAAUGCGUAGAUAUUAGGAGGAACACCAGUGGCGAAGGCGGUCUGCUGGACAGCAACUGACGCUGAGGCGCGAAAGCGUGGGUAGCAAACAGGAUUAGAUACCCUUGUAGUC
rnacentral:rRNA from 1 species